rnacentral:rRNA from 1 species
UACGUAGGUGGCAAGCGUUAUCCGGAAUUAUUGGGCGUAAAGCGCGCGCAGGCGGUUUCUUAAGUCUGAUGUGAAAGCCCACGGCUCAACCGUAGAGGGUCAUUGGAAACUGGGAGUCUUGAGUGCAGAAGAGGAAAGUGGAAUUCCAUGUGUAGCGGUGAAAUGCGUAGAGAUAUGGAGGAACACCAGUGGCGAAGGCGACUUUCUGGUCUGUAACUGACACUGAGGCGCGAAAGCGUGGGGAGCAAACAGG